rnacentral:lncRNA from 1 species
GCUCAGUGUCCCCACGGGAAGGGAUCAGUGGGAGCUUUCAGCGCCAAUGUCUCAUGAGUUGAAGAAAGAAGAGGGUUGUCAUCUCAGUUGACACAGGGGUGGAGGCCCGUGCGUGGGCCCCUGAAGUUUCUAGGGCUGACUCUUCCUAAUUUUCUGUGUGGCCUUGAACAAAUCCUCUCUCUGGAUGUCACUCGCACCUAAGAAGCCAGAUACUUCAGGCUCCCCCCAGCCCCAUCCUAGUCCACACCCCUAAAGGGAUUCCCAGAAUUUCGGAACCCUGAUCAACAUAAACCCUGGGCCCCUCAGGCAGGUGCCAGCCAGGAGUAGUGGAUUUACAAGGUAAGGACGUAUAAGAUGUGACAGG